rnacentral:RNase_P_RNA from 1 species
GGGGCAGGCUGGCUGACCGCGGGGUUCAUUGAACCUUGAGGAAAGUCCGGACUCCAUAGAGCAGAAGCCGUGGCUAAUGACCACCCGGGGCAACCCGCGAGAAAGUGCCACAGAAACGAAACCGCCCGGCAACGGGUAAGGGUGAAACGGUGGGGUAAGAGCCCACCAGCUGGUCGGUAACGAUCGGGCUGAGGCAAACCGGGCUUGGAGCAAGGGAUUGGGGAGGGUUGCUCGCCCUUUGAUCCAGUCAACACCGCAAGAGGUAAUCGGCAACGAUUACCCCAGAUAGAUGGUCAGACAAAGACAGAAUCCGGCUUAUAGGCUUGCCCCAUCA